rnacentral:tmRNA from 1 species
GGGGGUGUAUGGAUUCGACAGGGAUAGAGUGGAUUGUUGAUGCGUGUCGAGGAGUCAACCUUUCUCGUUAAACCGGUUGAAAAGCAUAAUUGCAAACGAAAAUUACGCAUUAGCUGCAUAGUCAGCUACGGUCUUGAGAGGAUGGCAACGUGCCUCAAAAAGAUUGUUAUACAUUGUUGCUAGCAUAAAUUUAUGUCUGUAGAUUUAUGCGAAACUCACAGACUAAGCAAAUUAAAAUUUUGAUUAUUUUAUAUAACUUGCCGACAAUUUAAAAUAACUACACACGUAGAUUUGGCAUUUGACUUAUCUUUGGACGCGGGUUCGAUUCCCGCCACCUCCACCA